UGCAGGAUCCCCACACAUCCCACCUCGCUCUGGUAGCAGCCUCCCCAUCAUCCUUUUCACCUGCCACUCAGUGCCUCUCUCAAUUAAAUGGGCCACUAAGCACUAGUGUUCAUCUCCGAGGAGAGAUUUUCUUCGACGGGAGCGGCUGUGCAUUCGCAGGGCCGAGCCAUACAGCAAAGUUGCAUCGGUACGCUCCAGCACGCAUGUGUUUGUUGAUGUGUGUGUAGUAGACGGAGAGAGAAGGAAGCAUUUGGGUAUUCAAGGAAGCCAGCCCACUGGGGAGCUGCAGCGGGCAAAGCAGCAAUGCUCUCUUCAAAGUGUGAGUUGAACGCUGCCCUCGAAUCGAAAGGCUCUCUCCCUCCAAACGCCUCCUCAGUCCAGCCUCUGAUGUAACAGGAGGUUGUGAAUUCAUCCUUCGGGGUCAGACUGUCAACGGCGAGUUCACCUGCCACGUCUUGAGGCAUCUGAAAAACAACAUUUGGUGCAGAUGACCUGAACUGUGGCACAUGUCGUCAUGCCAACAAAAGCACAGUGUGCUGAAAACAAAGAAGUUUUUUGGCUGCAGCAACACAACUGUUGUUCUCCACCUGCGCUAUUCAUCAGAUUUGGCUUCUUCCUCUUCCCUAAAUUGAAAUGAAAGUUGAAGAGUUGCCAUUUUGACACAGUGGAGGAAAUCCAGCAUGCAUUCCAGGUGGUGCUUGACAAGCUCACACAACAGGACAGGAGUGAUCAGAGCGUGGCUGGAGCACUGGGAACGAUGUGUUGCCGUACAAGGACACUGCUUUAACAGGAGGAAAGUUAAAAUCUGGUACAGUUUUUGCUUUUUAUAAACUUGUAGAUUUCACCUUGUGUUUUUUAACCUGUUUUCGUAGAUUCAUGUCUUCAGAAAGACGGAACGUCUGGGCAGAGAGUCACCGAUGAGACAGUGAGAAGAGUUGCUGGUCAACCAAAAGUACCCCAAGAGCACAGCGACGACUCAUCCAGGAGGCCACAAAAGAACCCAGGACAACAUCUGAAGGACUGCAGGUCUCCCUAGCCUCAGUCAAGGUCAGUGUUCAUGACUCAAGGGUAAGGAAGAGACUGGGCAAAAAUGCCAUCCAUGGAAUAGUUCCAAGUCAAAUACCACUGAUGACCAAGAAGAAAAUAAAGACUUGUCUUGCUUUUGUAAGCAAACAUCUGAAUGAACCCCAAAAGUUUUGGGAGAAUUUUGUAUGGACAGAUGAGACGGAAGUUGAACUUUUUGGAAGGAGUGUGUCCCGUUACAUCUGGUAUAAAAGUAACAGCAUUUCAGAAAAAGAACUUCAUACAAACAUGGCGGUGGUAGUGUGAUGGUCUGGGGCUGCUUUGCUGUUUCAGGACCCAGUCGACUUGCUGUGAUUGAUGGAACCAUGAAUUCUGCUCUCUACCAAAAAAUCCUGAAGGAGAAUGUUCGGCCAUCAGUUCGUGACCUCAAGCUGAAGCACACUUGGGUUCUGCAGCAGGACAACGAUCCAAAACACACCAGCAAGUUGGUUUCUGAAUGGCUUCAAAAAAAAAACAAAAUGAAGGUUUUGGAGUGACCUAGUCAAAGUCCAGACCUGAAUCUGAUUGAAAUGCUGGCAGGACCUUAAAAAGGCCGUUCAUGCUUGAAAACCCUCCAGUGUUGCUGAAUUAAAACAGUUCUGCAAAGAAGAGUGGACCAAAAUAUCUCCACAGAGAUGUGAAAGACUCAUUGCCAGUUCUAGAAAACACUUGAUUGCAGUUGUUGCUGCUGAGGGUGGCCAAGCCAGUUAAUAGAUUUAGGAGGCAAUUACUUUUUCACACUGGGCCAGGUUGCUUUGAAUAGUUUUUUUUUCCUUGAUGAAUAGAAUCAUCAUUUAAAAACUGCAUCUUGUGUUUACUUGGAUUAUCUUUGUCUGAUAUUUACAAUUUUUUGAUGAUCUUAAACAUUAAAGUGGGGAAAAUAUGCAAAAAAAUAAGAACAUGAAAAGGGGGGAAAUACUUUUUCACGGCACUGUAUGUCACUCUGGGUGAAUGCAGUGGGCUGACAGGUUGUGACUGACUGAUCCACAUCGACACUACUAGAUUAUCACUAGCUGUUUUCUUUAAAUCCACUGAACAGAGAACGGUAAUAUCGCCAACUAAUUUCAUGUCCUGAUGAUGUUCAAUCAGAAAGAAAUGUAAAAUAUGUCUGACCAUAACUUCUGUUGCAAAAUUCUUGAGUCUGCAAAAAAUUGUAGCCAUUCAUCAUGAUGACUAAUGCCAUUAAUCACCACAAGUACGGACUUUAAUGUUAAUUAACAGGAAACACUUCCAGAGCUGAUCACUCAUAUACAUUCUCUGAAUUAUUAGUCAUUGUGCCGGAUCUUUCAUUCUCUCAUUAAUGGUCCUUCUCUUUAACAUCCUGUCUCUAUUUCCGCUGUGAUUAUUGGUCUUUUUCCGCAUUUGCAACAUCAUUUAUUCAAGAACAGACUCUCUUUCGAUUCGGUGAUAAACACGUGCUUUUUGUGUAAAAAGGUAAACCGUGUAAUUACGUCGUCCUGGUUCACUGUGAGGUCAAACACUCUCUCCUGCUGAUUUUAAUCCAACCAGCCUCUCUUUGUAGCUCUCUCUGCCGCUGUCUGUCGCUGUCCGUCCUUUUCUUUCUCUCUCAUUGUCUCUGUGUCCCCCAGGUUAUUCCUAUUAGACAUUAUUCAGCACGGAGUUGACUAAAACCUGCCUGUUGUGUGCUGAUACGGCCACAGAGAACCGCUCCAGCCUCUCCUCUCUGAUGUUACGCCAUGCACACACACAUACACACUCACAAUAAAUUCUCUUUAUAUUUAGAGCAGUAUGAUGUGUGCGUGUCCAGAAGCUGAGAGAGACAGAAAGAAUAGAAGCAUUAACAACUAAAUAAUUUUCUUUGCUUGGCUGGAGAACAAAGGAGCGGAAGCAUUUCAGUUGACAACGGGACAAAAACACAGAUUUUGAUUCGCCCAAAAAGAGGAUAGAAGUGCAUCCAGAGAGAGACGAAAGGGCCUCAGACAGUGAUGGAUGCACACAGGCGGUGGGCGACAGUGAAAAAUGAGAGGACGACAAUUGUUCUAGAGGUGACACGUACUGAUGAUGACGGCCGCAGAGCGAGGGAUAAACAAAAAGGAGGAUAUGGAGGGGUGCGUAAGAUGAACCUGAGCGCUCAGGUCAGCGGAAGUCAGGGUCACACUGUGGAGCUCAGCCAUCUGUGUGUGACAAACGUGAACACACAACCUGCAUACAACUUCAGAGGCACUAAAAACGACCGGCACAUGCAUAUGGUAAACAGGAAAGCAAAACAACAAGAGCUGAAUAAUCAGAUCCAUUUUGAUUACAGUGUUAAAAAGCUUCAAUUGAUUUUCAAGUCAGUUUGAUUUACGCAAAUGUGAGAGAAGAGAUGUAACUCCAGGCUGCGGUCCUUUUCAUAGCAGAUGAAAGAUGUCAAGCUUUCUAGAUGAUGCUAAGCAAAGCACAUCUGAUUUCUGGGAGGAAGAGAGAAAGUAAUGGACUAUGUUUUAGUGUUUGUGUUGCGUUUUGCAUUAAUUUGGGUCAACAUCAUUGACAGAUCCUUUUGAUGCAUGUGGAUCUAAAUGAAACCAGACUGAAAGCAUUAAAGGGGAACUUUAAAUUCAGUUUACAUGUCGAGGAAUGUGUCUGCAUAUGUUUAAAAACUGUAUAUGCGAGAAGUUGAAUAAAUGUCCUCAAGUGUUACUCGAGUCUGCGUCAGCUGGGGCGGAAACUGGAGUCAGGCCAAUGUUAUACUUUUCACAUUUGCAAGAUCCACUAGAGUCCACGUGAUGUGUAUUUGCCAUCUGCCCAAGUCUGCAAAAUCACACACAAAUUUCUCUGUGGACCUCUGAAUUCAGCCUAAGUUGUGUCUGUGUACCAACUAUGCUAUGAAGGCAGUAGUCUCUAUAUGUAGAUGUGCAUGUUUACUGUGCAUUCAUGUGAUGCAUCCUGAAGUGGACAAGAAAGUAGUAUAAUUUCUAACAACUGUGGACCAGUGCUGUUCACAGCCACGUAAUCAUGGCUUUAGAAAGAAGUGAGAUCCUCAUCUUUACUUGAGGACAGAGAUGCAUCAGCACCUACUAAUUGAGGUUUUCAGAUGUGCACUCCUUGUCAGAGUGAGCACCCUGGUCACUUUUCUGUGUAAGUUGCAACAACAAUCCUGUUAGGUUAUGCCGUCACAUUAGAGGAUAGGCCGUGUCUGUGUGUACAUUCAGUGUUCCUUUUCAGUUCCUUCCUGAUUUAUUUUGAAGUUACUCACCUUGUGUGUCUCUGGUACUUCCUCCCUUUGUGUGCUUUCCCUCCUUUUUUGAUUGUCUGUUUCCCUGCGCCUUCUUUGCUUAUUAUUUCUGUGUCUUGCCUUGUCUUUUGCCAGUUGGUGCUGUUGUUUAUCCUCGUGUUUCCCUUCCUGUUUCCUGCCCUUAUGUUCCUCGCUUGUGUCUUGGUUUGUGCAUUUAGUUUCUUUGGAUCUUGUUUCUCCUCUGGAUUACCUGCCUGAUUGCCACCUGUUUGUCUACUCGCUACAUGGAUCUUGUUCACCUGCCUGUCUGUUCAGGCCCCUGUGCCAUCAUGUUUCUUGGAUUAUGUUCCUUUGGAUUUCUUCUGUUAGGGACUUUUUUUUCUUGGGUUACUAGCCACCUUUUGUUUAUUCAUCCGUCUCUCUUGUUUAACUAAGUUUUUGAUUAAAAUUUCCUUUUUUAUUGCUACAACCUGCCCACCUCGUGUGUCUGCAUCUGAGUCUUUCUUUUGAGUUAAUUAAAUACCUGAAACACCAGACAGCGGCAGGAUCCAUAUGAGAGAGUUGCACACAUUUAUGCACGUGGACCAACAGCACUGGUAACUUUAAAUUCAAAUGGGAACAAGAACUUUUUCUACUCAUGUCACUACAAAAAUAUGUAUGACAAUGCAAAAAUGACAUUUUACAGUAAAAUUAUGUCGAGUCCAAUCUGACACAAGUGUGAAUAUUUAAGCAUUUUUUUUAAACAUGCAUUCGAGUGCUAAUUUAAGUACACACGUGUGCAAAUAUAAUCUAUACAUGUUUCUUUUUACCCUUGUAAAUGUUUGUAUAUGUAAAACAGAACACAUAAUGCAUUAGAGAGAAAAACUGUCACAGGAAGCGUCACCAUCUCCAACCUGCAACACACAUGAUUAUUCACAGGCCGAGCAGUGUGACGCAGGCUGUGAUAUUUGGGUCCAGCAGCAGCUGUUGUGUACCAUUCGCUCCACACAGAGCGUCACAUGGAGCCCAGCCUCCUGAGAAGAAAGAUGCAAAGGAAAUAAAAAUCCAUAUCUGCAGACCAUUUAACUUUUAAGUGACAGAUUGCAGUUGAAAGUAAAAUGUCUUUCACUGAUUGAACUUUCCCUUUGGCACUCGGGCCUUUAAUUCAAAUACCGCACCAAUAUACUUAAACCCUGUUAGUGCCAUAAACAUACAUCUCUGCACUUCCCCUACUCCAUUAAGUGAAGAAAUAUCCUUCAGAAAUAUGCAAAUAAACAGCAGAAGUGCUGAAGCAAUUAAGAAAGUGAAGUAUCUGGGCUUGAUCAGCUUGAUCAGUGCAGAGAUGAUGUACAUCUUAUUUAACGUGUCCAAGCUCAAUAAAGUACUCAUUAGCAGGUGAUGGAUAACAAAGCCCGUUCUUAACCGCCACAAGUACAUCUGCUUCUGUUAUGAGUCAUAAACAGCGCGGAUAUGACGUCCACGAGGCAGGCGAUCAAUCUUUCACUCAUUCCAACCCACUGAGGAAAACUAAAAGGCACGUUGCUGAAAUAGUGUGCCGGGCUGUCAACCUGUCAAAGUCACUGGUAAAAUAUACUAUGCUGCACUCCGACUACUGUGUGAAUGAUGAGGAACACAAUUGCAAAGUGGAAUUUGGCAGCCGAGUGAGGUUAGCCCUGAGUGACCUCCUUUUGCUGACUCUUUAGCUGCGAGAGAGCGCUGCUGGCCUGUGAGAGGACCACUACUGUAAUUGAACCAAAUGGAGGCAACAUCCAAGUCCUUAAGGAUUGCUGAUCAUGAACAAGGAAUGAUCUCCUGCAUCACAUCAGAGUGUCGCCAUGCCAGUUUAGAUGCACCGGGUAUCUUUGUCUUUGUUGUCUGUAAAGCACCGGAAAGCCAAACUUCAAUAGACUGUUGGUGUCAUGUGGCUGAGUGACUCACUGGGUUUAAUGAGGGUGUCUGUCAAAACAAAGGACUUUUCUUUUGAUGUCUGGUGGUCCUGUGUUCUGACAGCUAUAUCAAAGCCGCAUUAGGUUGUGGUGAGUUGAGGUUUGCUUUUCCUGUUUGAUCUGAAGUGAUUCAUCUUCACGUUAAAUCCGUGCAUCGGUGUAAUUCCACCAUCAAAAGUUCUCUUGUUGAAGUGCAUCUCUGAGAAACAAAACAUUUUCCCUUCGAGCUAGAACAAAGAGCGGCUUUGGAUUUGCUUGUGAUUGGUCAUCUCUAAGCUCCUGACCUGCCUGCUCAUCGCCCUGCUGCCAUCUGCUUCAGUCGUCCUAAUGAAGCACCGUCUCUUCUGAGGUCCUGGGAGACGCCACCUCCACACCGGCCUAAUCAGCUUCUGAAAGCAUCGGCCCCUCUGGCGGCAUCCGGUUCGAAGCUCGGCCACGACUCAGCCCAGAUCGCUCAUUUCAUCAACGCCCGGUGCCUAAUGAACUAUAGAGGAUGGAGGGCAGCGAGAGGAGAAGGAGGAGGAAACAAGGGAAAACUACGAGCACAGACCCUUUGUACUGAUAAAGAAACUCUUUCCCUAAUGAAAGUGGCUCUUUUG